rnacentral:rRNA from 1 species
AGCAGCCGCGGUAAUUCCAGCUCCAAUAGCGUAUAUUAAAGUUGUUGCAGUUAAAAAGCUCGUAGUUGAAUUUCGGGAUCAGUUGGUCGGUCGUGCCUCGGUACGUACUGGUCAAAUUGAUUCCUACCUUCUGACGAACCACGAUGUCAUUAAUUUGGUGUCGCGGGAAAUCAGGACUGUUACUUUGAAAAAAUUAGAGUGUUUAAAGCAGGCUCGCGCUUGAAUACAUUAGCAUGGAAUAAUGAAAUAGGACGUUUGAUUCUAUUUUGUUGGUUUCUAGGAUCGACGUAAUGAUUAAUAGGGAUAGUUGGGGGCAUUAGUAUUCAAUUGUCAGAGGUGAAAUUCUUGGAUUUAUUGAAGACUAACUACUGCGAAAGCAUUUGCCAAGGAUGUUUUCAUUAAUCAAGAACGAAAGUUAGGGGAUCGAAGACGAUCAGAUACCGUCGUAGUCUUAACCAUAAACUAUGCCGACUAGGGAUCGGAUGAUGUUAAUUUUUUAAUGUACUCAUUCG